UUCCUUUUCAAUGGGCUUUGGUGUCCUUGC
rnacentral:piRNA from 1 species